rnacentral:tRNA from 1 species
AUUCUUCUAGUAUUAAUGCCAAUACAAGUGACUUCCAAUCAUUUAAUCUUGGUUAAACCCCAAGGAAGAAUA